rnacentral:tRNA from 1 species
GGCUGCGUAGCUCAAUUGUAUUAGAGCAUCUGACUACGGAUCAGAAGGUUACAGGUUAGAAUCCUGUCGCGGUCA